CUGGGAGGCUCAGUGGGUUAAGGCCUCUGCCUUCGGCUCAGGUCAUGAUCCCAGAGUCCUGGGAUGGAGCCCCAUAUCGGGCUCUCUGCUCAGCAGGGAGGCUGCUUCAUCCUCUCUCUCAGCCUGCUUCUCUGCCUACCUGUGAUCUCCACCUGUCAAAUAGUUUAGCCUUUGGAUUUCUCGAAGCCCUGAGAAAGAUGUCCCGUGGAGUUGGGGUUCUGUCGUGGUUCACACUGUAUCACCUCAUUGCACAGGAAGUCUCUUGAGGUUGGCAGUUAGUGCCGAUCUAACCCAUUCUGUGACCAACUUGUCCUGACAAAGGGAUCUUUGGGUCAGGUGGCAUGUGCUCUAACAACUCUGAAGCAUUCACCCCAUGCCCACCAAUUUCUGUGGCUUAUUGGCCUCCAAGACCCCCCAAAGCAUGAGCCUUGACCCCAGGAGCCCAUUAACAGAAACCAAGAGAAACUGAAGAAACAGAUGUGGACACCAGCAAUACCCAGAGAACUAGGGACUGGGCAGAGGACUGGACCUGCAGACCUUAAACAAUGGGAAUGCAGAUGGUUUCCAAACAAAUGGACAAUGGCGGUCACCAGCAGCUCCCAGCAUGGCAUCUGAGGACAGAAGCAAGGGCUGGGGUUUAGACAACACUGCAUACAGGCCCGUAGCAAGGCCCUGUGCACCACCAGCAACUCCACAGGCAGACUUGGGGAUGUCAGAUUAGACCUGGGGCAAGAAGUUCCAAACAACCAGGGACCUGCAAACCGAACCAAGGGCUAGGGCCUCCGGUUUCAGUUGGAACCACCUGUCAGCUCAAGCUGACCCACUAAACCCUGGACUGGAAACCAAUUAGAUCCAGAGCUCAUCGCCAAGAGAGCCCAGCUCCCAACUGAGAGAGACUUACCCAUGGCCUUCAGAAAUGGUGAGAAAGACAGUGAACUCAAAAAAGGGUUCGCAGGUACCACGCCUAUCAGCAGUCUGCUUCAAUCUGCAAUGGCCACCAAAUCUGUUAAACAGCAAUUGAAGUGAUCACAUUGGCUUUACUGAACAACUCGUGAAUCGGGCAGCUUCCCACCUAACAAACAAAAAAAGGCUCCAUCCAGCUAUAGAAAAUGAAAGGUUUGAAAAGGCAGAGAGGAAGCCGGAAAAGGAAGUAAUUAGCAGAGUGUAUUGUUUUAGGCAAGGGAAAUGGAAUGGGUCUAUCUGUAAAUUUCCUAGUACUGCCCAGGAAAUUCUAGGUUGACUAGUUAGAGGUCACAUUCCUGGGAGGGGUCAAAACUGCAGUAAGGAUAGGUGUCAGGUCUGGAUUUGCUGAUGUGGGGCCUUAACCUAAGUGACUCCAUUUUGGGCCUGUGGUUUUUCUUUUCAUUUUUUUUUUUAAGAUUUUAUUUAUUUAUUUGACAGACAGAGAUCACAAGUAGGCAGAGAGGCAAGCAGAGAGAGUGGGGGGAAGCAGGCUCCCCACUGAGCAGAGAGCCUGAUGCACGACUCGAUCCCAGGAUCCUGAGAUCAUGACCUGAGCCGAAGGCAGAGGCUUAACCACUGAGCCAUCCAGGUGCCCUGUGGUCUUUCUUUUUAACAGUGGCGACAGUGGCUCUCUCAGGGGAUGUCAUGCAGACAACUGAGAUGAAAGAGUGCUCAGUGCUUGGCAUGCAGUCAGCACUCCCCAGGCCUAAACUCACCAUCACCACACGUAGAUUCCAAGGAGCCCCAUUGUAAUUUGUGUGCUGAACAACGAAAGGGAGUGUCACUCACCUGGAUUGUCAUGUGAGCCCUCCCCAAACCCAGAGUUCUGCCAUAUGACAGCUGCCCAGUAUGCAAGGAGUGAGAUGGAUUACAAAACAUUUAAUAAAUAUAUCUAAGGAACAUACACAUCCAACACGUAUGCAAGCCUGCAUUCGUCACCAUCCUCCACAUCCACAAUCUAAACAGAAGUGCCCCCCGCAGCCACACCUGGGGCCAGCUGCUCCCUCCUCCUGCCUGCCAAAUCAGCAUCAGCUCUCACCUUUUCUCCAGCCCCUUCAGACUCCAUCUUCAUCUGCCUUCUCCCUCCACCUAACACCCCAGAACACCGUUCCCACUUUGUCCUCGCUGUCUUUUGAGGAUAUGUCACCACACUUCCUGCUCUUCUCUUCUGGCCUUCAGUGUGGGUAGCUUCCUCUCUUCAGAGCACGGGGUACUAGUGUCCUGCUGGCGAAGCCCAGGCCCCUGCUGCCUGCAACCCGCACAGCUCAUGCUGGGUGGUCUCAACCGAGGCUGUGCGACAAUCGAGACCUCACACCUUGAUGACUAACCGCCAUUCUCCACAGCUGCUGCCCCCAUUUCCUUCAGAACCCCCUCCCUGGCCUCCCAUUUUUCUGGAAAGAUUAGGCCACAUCUGAGGCAAACCCUUAGCCCAACUUCUCAGGUCCCUCAGAAUAGCACAAUAGCUUCGUCCUCCAGUUUCUGAGAAAGUGGGGUCUCAAGUGUGCCAUGUGCAACCACGUGGAUGGAUUCUGAGGGCAUGAUGCUAAGUGAGACAAAUCAGACGACAACAGACAAAUACUAUGGGAUCUCACUAAUAUGUAGAAUCUAAAAACAAAACAAAAAGGCAAAAAAAAAAAAAAAAGAA